GGCUAUUUAAUAAUUCAUUGAGCAGAAAUUACCAAAUAUACUUACAUUUGGCUAUGUUUUUGUUAAACAGUCGAAAAAAAAUUUGCCGAGUUCCUUUUCUUUAUUUAUUCAAAAUACUUAUUUAAACAUUUUUUUCUUAUUAAAAUAUUUAUAAGUAGUUAAUUAUUAUAAAUAACCAUUUAGUAAUUAAUUUUUAAUUUUAUAAUUUGCGGAACUUAAACCUAUAAGAUUAUAUUUAUCAUCAUUAAUUUUUAUUAUAAACCUAAUUAUUUAUAAUUUGUUUAAGUACUAAAUACUUUUAACUAACAUCAGAUAUCACAUUUGAUUGGCCUAUCACCCCUAUUUUAUCUUCUACUAUGAAUUUUGCAACACUCAUAUAGUAAUCUAUAAAGGAGAUAAAAUAGCUCAUCUUGUUUCGUGUAUACUAAUUUUUGUAUUAAAUUUAGUUUAACCCAUUAUG
rnacentral:rRNA from 1 species